AAACCGUGUACGUACAAGCAGUGGGAGCCUCUUUAUGGGGUGACUGCGUACCUUUUGUAUAAUGGGUCAGCGACUUAUAUUCUGUAGCAAGGUUAACCGAAUAGGGGAGCCGAAGGGAAACCGAGUCUUAACUGGGCGUUAAGUUGCAGGGUAUAGACCCGAAACCCGGUGAUCUAGCCAUGGGCAGGUUGAAGGUUGGGUAACACUAACUGGAGGACCGAACCGACUAAUGUUGAAAAAUUAGCGGAUGACUUGUGGCUGGGGGUGAAAGGCCAAUCAAACCGGGAGAUAGCUGGUUCUCCCCGAAAGCUAUUUAGGUAGCGCCUCGUGAAUUCAUCUCCGGGGGUAGAGCACUGUUUCGGCAAGGGGGUCAUCCCGACUUACCAACCCGAUGCAAACUGCGAAUACCGGAGAAUGUUAUCACGGGAGACACACGGCGGGUGCUAACGUCCGUCGUGAAGAGGGAAACAACCCAGACCGCCAGCUAAGGUCCCAAAGUCAUGGUUAAGUGGGAAACGAUGUGGGAAGGCCCAGACAGCCAGGAUGUUGGCUUAGAAGCAGCCAUCAUUUAAAGAAAGCGUAAUAGCUCACUGGUCGAGUCGGCCUGCGCGGAAGAUGUAACGGGGCUAAACCAUGCACCGAAGCUGCGGCAGCGACACUAUGUGUUGUUGGGUAGGGGAGCGUUCUGUAAGCCUGUGAAGGUGGCCUGUGAGGGUUGCUGGAGGUAUCAGAAGUGCGAAUGCUGACAUAAGUAACGAUAAAGCGGGUGAAAAGCCCGCUCGCCGGAAGACCAAGGGUUCCUGUCCAACGUUAAUCGGGGCAGGGUGAGUCGACCCCUAAGGCGAGGCCGAAAGGCGUAGUCGAUGGGAAACAGGUUAAUAUUCCUGUACUUGGUGUUACUGCGAAGGGGGGACGGAGAAGGCUAUGUUGGCCGGGCGACGGUUGUCCCGGUUUAAGCGUGUAGGCUGGUUUUCCAGGCAAAUCCGGAAAACCAAGGCUGAGGCGUGAUGACGAGGCACUACGGUGCUGAAGCGACAAAUGCCCUGCUUCCAGGAAAAGCCUCUAAGCAUCAGGUAACAUCAAAUCGUACCCCAAACCGACACAGGUGGUCAGGUAGAGAAUACCAAGGCGCUUGAGAGAACUCGGGUGAAGGAACUAGGCAAAAUGGUGCCGUAACUUCGGGAGAAGGCACGCUGAUAUGUAGGUGAAGCGACUUGCUCGUGGAGCUGAAAUCAGUCGAAGAUACCAGCUGGCUGCAACUGUUUAUUAAAAACACAGCACUGUGCAAACACGAAAGUGGACGUAUACGGUGUGACGCCUGCCCGGUGCCGGAAGGUUAAUUGAUGGGGUUAGCGGUAACGCGAAGCUCUUGAUCGAAGCCCCGGUAAACGGCGGCCGUAACUAUAACGGUCCUAAGGUAGCGAAAUUCCUUGUCGGGUAAGUUCCGACCUGCACGAAUGGCGUAAUGAUGGCCAGGCUGUCUCCACCCGAGACUCAGUGAAAUUGAACUCGCUGUGAAGAUGCAGUGUACCCGCGGCAAGACGGAAAGACCCCGUGAACCUUUACUAUAGCUUGACACUGAACAUUGAGCCUUGAUGUGUAGGAUAGGUGGGAGGCUUUGAAGUGUGGACGCCAGUCUGCAUGGAGCCGACCUUGAAAUACCACCCUUUAAUGUUUGAUGUUCUAACGUUGGCCCGUAAUCCGGGUUGCGGACAGUGUCUGGUGGGUAGUUUGACUGGGGCGGUCUCCUCCUAAAGAGUAACGGAGGAGCACGAAGGUUGGCUAAUCCUGGUCGGACAUCAGGAGGUUAGUGCAAUGGCAUAAGCCAGCUUGACUGCGAGCGUGACGGCGCGAGCAGGUGCGAAAGCAGGUCAUAGUGAUCCGGUGGUUCUGAAUGGAAGGGCCAUCGCUCAACGGAUAAAAGGUACUCCGGGGAUAACAGGCUGAUACCGCCCAAGAGUUCAUAUCGACGGCGGUGUUUGGCACCUCGAUGUCGGCUCAUCACAUCCUGGGGCUGAAGUAGGUCCCAAGGGUAUGGCUGUUCGCCAUUUAAAGUGGUACGCGAGCUGGGUUUAGAACGUCGUGAGACAGUUCGGUCCCUAUCUGCCGUGGGCGCUGGAGAACUGAGGGGGGCUGCUCCUAGUACGAGAGGACCGGAGUGGACGCAUCACUGGUGUUCGGGUUGUCAUGCCAAUGGCACUGCCCGGUAGCUAAAUGCGGAAGAGAUAAGUGCUGAAAGCAUCUAAGCACGAAACUUGC
rnacentral:rRNA from 1 species